UGGGAGAGACGUUGUAUCAUCAUGUUGCUCAUAGUGAUGGUUGUCGACUAGAGAAUCUUCCAAAUAAGAGUAAAUAGUAUGUCAUUGUUUUUUUAUAAAUUUUGAGUUGGUAUCUAUUGUUUUGAGUGUGUUGUAUUUUUAUAUACAUCCUUGAGCUAGUAUCUGAUUAUUUUGAAGCUUUAAAAAUUUUAUCUUUUGUUAUUGCUUUCAUAUUGGAGUUGGGUUGGCCUAAGUUUUAACUAACAGGUUAUGGCCUAGGUUUGGCCUUG
rnacentral:lncRNA from 1 species